rnacentral:sRNA from 1 species
CUUUAAAAAUCUGGAUCAAGCUGAAAAUUGAAACGACACACAGUCAAUGUGUGUUCGAGUCUCUCAAAUUUUCGCAAUCAUGAAGUGAAACAUCUUCGG